UGUUUUGCUGUGCUUCGGCGCAUGGCUUUUGCUUUACCUAUAAAACUGUCUUUCUCUCAUCCCAUGGGUUCUCACUUUUACUCUUCUGAUUCUCUCCCCCAUCCCACCCUGGGGGCAGUGAGUGAGGGGAUGUAUGGGGCUUAGUUGGCAGCUGGGGUUAAACCAUGACAGUCCUCUUCCGAAUUUCCUCUGCAGUCCUCAAGGAGGGCUCAAAACUUUCCUCUGAAAAAGCAAAAGAAGUCAGUAUGGGGUCCCGAGGGUGCUGCUGGCCGGGGAGGGGGCAGCACCACGGUCCCCAGCACAUACGGACGAAUGUGGACAAGCUGUGCUUCUGCAGAGAUCGGGUGGAUUGGGACUUCUCUUGCUGAAACCAUCACCCCUGCUGAGCUCCGGGAAGCCCACGGGCAUGCAGCAUCCCCACGGACACGGCUCAGCCCCUGCCAAGGCCAGGUUGGGGGUCACUCACAGGCAAAGCUCCGCACAGGACUGCCAGGAGGUGCCAGCUUAUUUGGGAACAGGCCCAUGCAAGUCUCAACCAGCUUCUCACCUGGAGCCUGGGCUCUUUCUUAAACAUGACAGAGCAGAAGCAAGCAGGCGAGCAUGGGCUGGUCUGGGGCCCCAGCACCCACAGGACAGGGGGCUCAGCACUGCUGCUCCCCGAAUGCCCUUGGCCAGUGCUGGCUGAGGAGCUCAAAGCAAAGUAUUUCAAAUGAGAAGAGUCAUGGAGCAGAGACCGCAGAGACACAGCCUGCAGAGCUGGCCCCUGAGUGAUCAUUUUUACUUUAUUUGCUUAUAA